CAAAGGCUUGGUCCUGACUUUACUAUCAAUUCUAGCUAAACUUACACAUGCAAGUAUCCGCAUCCCCGUGAGAAUGCCCUACAGUUCCCUGCCCGGGAACAAGGAGCUGGUAUCAGGCACAUCCCUACUAGCCCAUGACGCCUUGCUUAGCCACACCCUCAAGGGAACUCAGCAGUGAUAGACAUUAAGCCAUAAGUGAAAACUUGACUUAGUUAAAGCUAAGAGGGCCGGUAAAACUCGUGCCAGCCACCGCGGUUAUACGAGAGGCCCAAGUUGAUAGACAUCGGCGUAAAGCGUGGUUAAGACAAAAACAAAACUAAAGCCGAACACCUUCAGAGCUGUUAUACGCACCCGAAGGUAAGAAGUUCAACCACGAAAGUGGCUUUAUACAC
rnacentral:rRNA from 1 species